AGGCAAAAGCGGUCCGGCUCCAGCCUGCAAGAGUGGCGCAGCUCCACGCAAGCCCACGGGCCUUUCUGCCCCUUCAGAAUAUUCUCGACGGGAGCCGCUGGAAGAGGUGAUCCACUCGCCGUCUUCGUCCCUUAACGUGUCAGAAGAGUUUUUAACUCCGGACCCCGACUAUUUUUUGAGCAGUUCCGCUCCUCACGAGCCUUCAGAAUUGGAAUAUUCAACGGCCGAGGAAGAGGAGGGAGGUAAUAUUCUAGGAAGAACAGAAGAAAUUUUUGGGCAGAAGGAAAAGUUGAGAAAACCUCCAGGAAUCUGGGCUCAGAAAGAACAUCCCAUCAAUUCAGGGCAGAGACGAGAGUGUUCCUUUGGGACAGGCACGCAAUAUAUCCAUGACAACCUGCCAAGGAGAGAUCUAUUUACUUCUCUAAACGGCCCCGGGGCAGCGCAACACGGAAGUCUCGGUGAGCCUCCAAGAGAAUUCGGAGCAGAAGAAACAUCCCUUGGAGAUAUUCAAGAAAUAUCUAGCAUCAUCUGCAAGGAUCCGGCGAAGACGUCAGCUGUGAAAACUCCCAGAAAUUCUAAUUCCCCCAUUAAGACCAGC